rnacentral:RNase_P_RNA from 1 species
GCAGCAGACCGGUCUGUCGCUCGUGUGAAAGAAAACGGGAGGAAAGUCCGGGCAACGCAGAGCGCCACGCUUCCUAACGGGAAGUUGUUCGCGAGGGCAAAGUAGCGUAACAGAAAAUAACCGCACGCCGCAAGGCUGCAAGGGUGAAAAGGCGAGGUAAAGGCUCACCGCUUCCGGCGGAAUCCGGGAGGUCAGUACGUCUCGUGGGUUGUAAGGUCAAAUAAACCGGCGUAUGUAGAGUGGCUCGCUCGAUGUCGGAGGGUGGACUGCUAAAAAACGGAAUUUGUCGGCGACGGCAAAUCCAGAUAAAUGACAGACGCAUCAGCGCCGCAGGGCGUGGUGGACAGAACCCGGCUUACAGGUAGGCUGCCAAU